CGGACAUAUCACUUUGAAAAACAGGUUCUCGUCAAAUCAUCGAAGUUAAGCAACGUCGAGCCUAGACAGUGUCUAAAUGAGUGACCGCUUGGGAAUACCAGGUGCUGUAAG